rnacentral:rRNA from 1 species
CCUACGGGAGGCAGCAGUGGGGAAUAUUGGGCAAUGGGCGGAAGCCUGAUCCAGCGACGCCGCGUGAGUGACGAAGUAUUUCGGUAUGUAAAGCUCUAUCAGCAGGGAAGAAAGAAAUGACGGUACCUGACUAAUAAGCCCCGGCUAACUACGUGCCAGCAACCGCGGUAAUACGUAGGGGGCAAGCGUUAUACGGAUUUACUGGGUGUAAAGAGAGCGUAGACGGUUACGCAAGUCAGGAGUGAAAGGCGGGGGCUCAACCCCCGGACUGCUUUGGAAACUGUAUAACUGGAGUGCAGGAGAGGUAAGUGGAAUUCCUAGGGUAGCGGUGAAAUGCGUAGAUAUCAGGAGGAACACCAGUGGCGAAGGCGGUUUACUGGACUGUAACUGACGUUGAGGCUCGAAAGCGUGGGGAGCAAACAGGAUUAGAUACCCCUGUAGUC